ensembl:ncRNA lncRNA:CR46088 long non-coding RNA:CR46088
UUUUUAUUACGCCCCGUCAGGUGGCUGGUGGCUGGCUGAGGCAUCGGCUGGUGGGCAUGACCAGGUGGUGCUGGCGUGCCAGGACAUGGCUCUGCCAAAAUGUGCCUUCAACUCCGUGGCCCAACUCUCGAUUCACCCCUCAGCAGGUCGAGUAUGUUUACAGAGGCGCCGACAAAGGCAAUAUCUAUCGACUACCAACAUGGGAAAUUGCCCGAAACGAGCUGUGGACAAACAGAUACACAAUUGGGUAAACUUGGCCAAAAUAAAUACGGAAGAACAUUAGUGCAAAUAAAAUAAAAUGCUAAUACUCGAACUACCAGCAAACCGCAAAUAUUUUGCCACAAAGUGCAACAAUAAUAAAUUCUACGCAGGCGGCCGGAAACGGAGUUGCAAGAAAAAUAAGUUAUCAGAAGUUUAUGUUUGAAUACAACAUAUUAGAAAAGUACAAUAUUUGUGGAAAAAUACAGUGACCCACUUAAUCGAAAAUGUUGUGUACAAAAACAUGAAAUGCAAUUGGAUACAAAGCACUGAAAUCAU